UACGUAGGGGGCAAGCGUUGUCCGGAAUCAUUGGGCGUAAAGAGCGUGUAGGCGGUUUGGUAGGUCCGCUGUGAAAACUCGAGGCUCAACCUCGAGACGCCGGUGGAAACCAUCAGACUAGAGUCCGGAGGAGGAGAGUGGAAUUCCUGGUGUAGCGGUGAAAUGCGCAGAUAUCAGGAAGAACACCCGUGGCUAAGGCGGCUCUCUAGUACGGUACUGACGCUGAGACGCGAAAGCGUGGGGAGCGAACAGG
rnacentral:rRNA from 1 species